AUACGUAGGGGGCAAGCGUUAUCCGGAUUUACUGGGUGUAAAGGGAGCGCAGACGGUUAUGCAAGUCUGGAGUGAAAACCCACAGCUCAACUGUGGGCUUGCUUUGGAAACUGUGUAACUGGAGUACUGGAGAGGUAAGCGGAAUUCCUAGUGUAGCGGUGAAAUGCGUAGAUAUUAGGAGGAACACCGGUGGCGAAGGCGGCUUACUGGACAGCAACUGACGUUGAGGCUAGAAGGCGUGGGGAGCAAACAGGAUUAGAUACCCUGGUAGUCCACGCGGUAAGCGAUGAAUACUAGGUGUUGGGGGACAUAGUCCUUCAGUGCCGCAGCAAACGCAAUAAGUAUUCCACCUGGGGAGUACGUUCGCAAGAAUGAA
rnacentral:rRNA from 1 species